rnacentral:lncRNA from 10 species
GGAAGCCUGGGUUUCUUCCAGGGGGCAGGCGCCGAGGCGGGAGUUGCGCGCGACGCGCCUACCGUGCCUCAGUUUCCCUAGUCCGGGACGCGGAAGCGCGGGUGACUGCGUUGAGUGCUCCCGGACUCGCGGAAGUCUGCAAGUGUAGGGUAGAGAAGUUGCCUUUCUGGUGAUGCAGAUUGUUGCUCUCGAGCGCGGUGGACGCCGUCUCCGGGCCAGAUUCCCAGCCUGCCAUUUCUUCUCUUCCCUUUCACUUUUAUAAAAGUUCACAGCUCUCACUCAAGUCGAAAUCUGUCUUACGGUUGGGAAAGGAAAACCUUUAGCUUAGCAAAGAAGGAUAAUUACAGAGUUCGUAAUAAACCUGCCCUGCUAGCAAGGUCUUCUCCAAGUCAGUUAAAAAACUAAGUUCACUCAUCUCUGCCGGUUGUACUUUUCAAAAGUAACUUCCUAAACUUUGAAAUGCUGCAUCCGGCGACUUUAAGUUAGCCCUUUCAUUAUUGAGAAACUUCAUUUCAUUAUUAAAGGAAUCAUUUUAACCCUGCCAUUGGAGGUAGUGACGCAAAAGUGACAUAGACGCAGUCGGUAAAUCAGAAAACGGGUAAAAUCGACCCACUGGGGACAGAACCGUCUAAAGUUUCGGGUGAUUGUUAUAAUUAUUUAACAAACUGCAAAGCAGUUCCCGCACAGUGGACCUCAUUCGUUCUAGGCACUUGGCUCUCUUUUCCAGCUGAGGCCUCAGGAUUAAAUAACAACAUAUUUUGUGCCCGAGGAAUCCCUAUAUCCCUAUAUAUGGGUAACUGAGGAGACUAGACUGUGACUGAGUGCAACACAUUUCUACAAAACAUAACUUUUACUAAUACAUUGUUUUCCUUUUUUUUAAUUUUUUUUUUAUUUUAUUUUUGGAGACAGGAUCUUGCUCUGUCACCUAGGCUAGAAUGCAAUGGUGCGAUCUGGGCUCGCUGCAGCCUCGACUCCCUGGAAUCAAGCCAUCCUCCCUUUUCAGCCUCCCGAAUAGCUGGAACUACAGGCACGCACCACCACGCCUAGCUAAUUUCUAAAAUUUUUUUGUAGAGAUGCAGUUUCACCAUGCUGCCCAGGCUGGUCUCAGACGCCCGGGCUCAAGCUGUCCUCCUGCCUCGGCUUCCUGAAGUGCUGGAAUUACAAAAGAGGAAGAGAAGGGCAGGGAGCAAGAGUAAAGGCUUUGGAGCUCAGCAAGACUGGGUUGAAUCUCAGCCUCAUUGUUUACUUGAUGUGUAAAAGCAGCUCUGUGGAGAAGCCCACCUGGAGAUAAACCAGAGCCUCCCGUCCUCCGUCAGCAUUGACUUGCAAGCCAUGUGACAGCUACCUUGGAAGUGGAUCCAGCAACCUCAAGAGAGGUUGCCCCCGCCACCCUCCAGUUCAUGUACUCCCAAAUUCCUGACCCAUAGAAACUGUGAAAGAGAAUAAAUAUUGGUUUAAUCCAUGAAGUUUUGAGGCCAUUUUACUUGGCAAUUGCUAACAAAUACAGGCUUAUCUGCUUCUCACUGACUGCAUUCAAGUUCCUCAUCUUUGCCAGGCAUGUUGCUGUAAUGAUGCUGUGUUCUUCUGAUCGCUUUCUAUCACGUCCUGCAUGAUUUCACCUUGUCACAGUAUUGGUGAUGUUAAAUUUGAUUACUUGAUUAAAGGAAUAUGUGUCAUGCUGUGGAGUCGGAAAGUUAUUCUAUUUCUAUGUAUGUAAUUAAUAAGCAAUUUGUGGGGAA